rnacentral:rRNA from 1 species
UGGGGAAUAUUGCACAAUGGGCGCAAGCCUGAUGCAGCCAUGCCGCGUGUGUGAAGAAGGCCUUCGGGUUGUAAAGCACUUUCAGCGAGGAGGAAGGUGGUGAACUUAAUACGUUCAUCAAUUGACGUUACUCGCAGAAGAAGCACCGGCUAACUCCGUGCCAGCAGCCGCGGUAAUACGGAGGGUGCAAGCGUUAAUCGGAAUUACUGGGCGUAAAGCGCACGCAGGCGGUUUGUUAAGUCAGAUGUGAAAUCCCCGGGCUCAACCUGGGAACUGCAUUUGAAACUGGCAAGCUAGAGUCUCGUAGAGGGGGGUAGAAUUCCAGGUGUAGCGGUGAAAUGCGUAGAGAUCUGGAGGAAUACCGGUGGCGAAGGCGGCCCCCUGGACGAAGACUGACGCUCAGGUGCGAAAGCGUGGGGCAGCAAACAGGAUUAGAUACCCUGGUAGUCCAGCGCUGUAAACGAUGUCGAUUUGGAGGUUGUGCCCUUGAGGCGUGGCUUCCGGAGCUAACGCGUUAAAUCGACCGCCUGGGGGAGUACGGCCGCAAGGUUAAAACUCAAAUGAAUUGAC